rnacentral:lncRNA from 1 species
CAAUUCAAGUCAUUCAUUUCCAUAUAAUAUCAAGUUCAUACAAGAUCUGAUGUUCAUCAAUGCAUUCGAAGUCAAAGUCAUGCAUUCAAGUCAAAAACAAUCAAUCUCAUUCAAGUAAUCAUGUACUAUCCAUUAUAAUGCUCAUUACAUCAAAAAUACACAAAUUGGAAAUGUUGACUUUAGGCCAAUAGUUGACUUUUUGGCAACUUUGACCAAAGUCAACUCAAUCCUAAAAAACCCUAAAAUCCCAAAUCCUUGUCCUAAUCUUGACCUUGAUCUCCCAUAUUCCAUUUUGAUCUUGGAUUGGCCAAGUAAGCAUAAUGCUCCAUGAUUCUUGUUGUUGUCAUGAAACUUUGUCUGUCCAACACAUGAAGCCAUAACCUGCAGGAGCGGCAAAAGAAAACACAUAAGUAACCCACAACCUGAAGCGAGCCAGUAUGGAUGCACAAAGAAAUUUGCAUAACAUACAAGGCAAUAACAUUACCAAACAUGACCCGCAACCAUAAAAGACAGCAAACAACAAUUGAAAUGCCAAAUCAAUAACAUUCCACAUGAUGCAAUUAAGCCAUGAACCCAUUACACCAAGUGUAAAACCAUGCAUAUGGCCCACAGUAUUCAUAGCACAGGUCCUGCACCCUGUCAGUAGCAGUCUCCAAAUGCGCUAGGCCUGACUCAUGCUCAUAGCAACAAGGGCCAUGGCUCUUCGCAUACUCAC